CUUUUUGACAAUUAGGUGUGAAGUGAUAUCUCAUUGUGGUUUUGACUUACAUUUCCUAGAUGGUUGGGGAUAUUAAGCGUUUUUUCAUAUACUCAUUGGCCUUUUGGAUGUCUUCUUUUGAGAAAUAUCUAUUCAGGUCCAUUACCUAUUUCUUAAUUGGGUUGUUUUCUUGAUAUUGAGUUGUUUGAAUUCCUUAUAUAUUUUGGCUAUUAACCCCUUAUCAAGUUCAUACAUAAUUCAAAAUUGCUUUCCAAACAGGUUGAACAAUCUGUGCUCCAGCACCACAGUGUAGGCAUGCCUGCAGGAAGUCAUUAUUUCAAGUGUUUGUUACUUUGACAGCUGAAGAUGCCACUGUUUCAUUGUUUUAAUUUGCAUUUCUUUGACUGUCAGUUAUUU
rnacentral:lncRNA from 1 species